GGGAUGCUCGCACCCUCUGCCUGUCUCUCUCUCUGAUUUCCUAGCCCCUUAGCAUAGCAUCCAGGUUUAUGCAAACUCCAUCAAAGAGGAAUCCCAGCCUGUUGGUCAAGAUCCCUAGCUAGACAGUGGUCACUGGAGAGCAUCAAUAUCUCUCUUCCACAAGCCUUCUUCCCUGUAUCCCAGAAGUUCCCUUUCUCUGAGUCGAGCCAUCAUCAGUGGUUCUCAGACGUCAGAAUGCCAGUGACUAUUUAAGUCAUUCAGGUUUUGUGCCAGCAUGCUCCAUCCACCAGUUCUCAUUGCAGAGGUGUUUGUGACCCAGGAGAAUGAACUCACUCACUUCUAUUUUCUUUCUUUUGUCUUUUACAGAACCCUGAAAGAGCAGCACCUUGAGUGGGGAUAAAUAUGGGCCAAUAUCUCAGAAAUAAAAAAAGAGACUAUUAUAAAGGAGCCCUUUUCUCCCCACCCCCCACCCCAGGAUGUUGUUUAAGACUUAAAGAGUUUAUCAAUGAUGUGUGUUGUUUCCUUUUGGAUGGUUCCUUUGGAUAAAGGUGUUGAUUGUAAAAUUAUCCAUCAAAUUAUAUGCAGCUGUGAAAGCCUCCAAACGUAAAAAAAUGUGGCUGUUGGUCUAAAUGGGAGUAUCUGAGCUCUCCUU
rnacentral:lncRNA from 1 species